UACACACUCAACACCCUAAGAUGGCUAAAUGCAAUGCAAUUCUGCCAGUUGUGCAGUGCUACUUAGUAUUUAUUGCUGGUUUAGAAAAGAGGGAGCCCUCUUCCAGACGCUAGUGGCUCCAGUGACAAGUCAGGAAGCCAGGCCUAUACUGAAGGGUACAGCAGCUGUGAGCCUCAUGUAUUGACAGAGCACUUGACAGGCAACGCGACUGAAAUGUCAGAAAGGCCCAUGCAAUGAGUACCAACACCAUGCUGAAUAUCAAAGAUUUCCUGUGAAAACCAGAGAUAUUACAAUCAAAAUCAUCCUCUAAUGAAAUACUUCUGGAUGUUAAACCACUACGUAUCUAAAAUACAGAAAACCUGGAAAAACCUGAAUGCAUUUUAUUGAAGAUAGAGUGGAAGAAAAACAUGCUGUUAAACUCAAGACUGUCCCAAAUAAUCAAGCCUUAAAUUAAGGAGACUCUCACAGGAGGGAGAAAUGAGCAAAUCAUUACUGAUUGGUUUGAGAGGAUGUUAUUUCAUGCUGUAUUUUACCUCUGGGAAAAGCAGAGAUAUGGAAAAGCUUCCUGAAGCCCCUUCGCUGACAUCUGGCAAGAGCACAAGCAGCUGUAUCCAUGCAUGUGUGAAACUAAAGACAUGGAAAGAAUUAACACCCUGAAUCCACUGCCGUUGGCAUAUCAAUCCAGACCCCAACUGCUGCUUCUUAAAAAUCAAAACCUCAGAAAAUGUGUUGAAAUGUCAAUUUGACUG